GACAGAGGGUGCAAACGUUGUUCGGAAUUACUGGGCGUAAAGAGCGUGUAGGCGGUCCGGUAAGUCCGCUGUGAAAGUCGGGGGCUCAACCCUCGAAUGCCGGUGGAUACUGUCGGGCUAGAGUACGGAAGAGGCGAGUGGAAUUCCUGGUGUAGCGGUGAAAUGCGCAGAUAUCAGGAGGAACACCUAUUGCGAAGGCAGCUCGCUGGGACGUAACUGACGCUGAGACGCGAAAGCGUGGGGAGCAAACAGG
rnacentral:rRNA from 1 species